UACGGGGGGGGCAAGCGUUGUUCGGAAUUACUGGGCGUAAAGGGCUCGUAGGCGGCCAACUAAGUCAGACGUGAAAUCCCUCGGCUUAACCGGGGAACUGCAUCUGAUACUGGAUGGCUGAGUUCGGGAGAGGGAUGCGGAAUUCCAGGUGUAGCGGUGAAAUGCGUAGAUAUCUGGAGGAACACCGGUGGCGAAGGCGGCAUCCUGGACCGACACUGACGCUGAGGCAGACGG
rnacentral:rRNA from 1 species